UACGUAGGCAGCAAGCGUUGUUCGGAGUUACUGGGCGUAAAGGGUGUGUAGGCGGUUAUUUAAGUUUGGUGUGAAAUCUCCCGGCUCAACCGGGAGGGUGCGCCGAAUACUGAGUGACUAGAGUGUGGGAGAGGAAAGUGGAAUUCCUGGUGUAGCGGUGAAAUGCGUAGAUAUCAGGAGGAACACCGGUGGUGUAGACGGCUUUCUGGACCAUAACUGACGCUGAGACACGAAAGCGUGGGGAUCAAACAGG
rnacentral:rRNA from 1 species